rnacentral:rRNA from 1 species
UGCAGCAAACGCAUUAAGCACUCCGCCUGGGGAGUACGACCGCAAGGUUGAAACUCAAAGGAAUUGACGGGGGCCCGCACAAGCGGUGGAGCAUGUGGUUUAAUUCGAAGCAACGCGAAGAACCUUACCAGGUCUUGACAUCCUUUGACCACUCUAGAGAUAGAGCUUUCCCUUCGGGGACAAAGUGACAGGUGGUGCAUGGUUGUCGUCAGCUCGUGUCGUGAGAUGUUGGGUUAAGUCCCGCAACGAGCGCAACCCUUAUUGUUAGUUGCCAUCAUUUAGUUGGGCACUCUAGCGAGACUGCCGGUGACAAACCGGAGGAAGGUGGGGAUGACGUCAAAUCAUCAUGCCCCUUAUGACCUGGGCUACACACGUGCUACAAUGGGAAGUACAACGAGUCGCUAGACCGCGAGGUCAUGCAAAUCUCUUAAAGCUUCUCUCAGUUCGGAUUGCAGGCUGCAACUCGCCUGCAUGAAGCCGGAAUCGCUAGUAAUCGCGGAUCAGCACGCCGCGGUGAAUACGUUCCCGGGCCUUGUACACACCGCCCGUCACACCACGAGAGUUUGUAACACCCGAAGUCGGUGAGGUA